rnacentral:rRNA from 1 species
AACGUAGGAGACAAACGUUAUCCGGAGUUACUGGGCGUAAAGGGCGUGUAGGUGGUAAUGUAAGUCUGGCGUGAAAUUUUUCGGCUUAACCGGGAAAGGUCGUCGGAGACUGCAUAACUAGAGGACGGUAGAGGCGUGUGGAAUUCCGGGUGUAGUGGUGAAAUGCGUAGAGAUCCGGAGGAACACCAGUGGCGAAGGCGACACGCUGGGCCGUGGCUGACACUGAGGCGCGACAGCGUGGGGAGCAAACAGG